GUCUCCGCUGCCCAUUGACAUUCUGGGUUGAGCUCCCAAUGCCUGAUGGGGCAAAAACAGUCUCGUGAGUGGUUUUGGAUACGUCGUCAGUUGCCCCUGACUCCGUGAAAACAACAGCAGACAAUCGUUUUACGUCAGACACUAG